UGGGGAAUAUUGCACAAUGGGCGAAAGCCUGAUGCAGCAACGCCGCGUGAGUGAUGAAGGCCUUCGGGUUGUAAAGCUCUGUCUUUUGGGACGAUAAUGACGGUACCAAAGGAGGAAGCCACGGCUAACUACGUGCCAGCAGCCGCGGUAAUACGUAGGUGGCAAGCGUUGUCCGGAUUUACUGGGCGUAAAGGAUGCGUAGGCGGAUUUUAAGUGAGAUGUGAAAACCCUAAGCUUAACUUGGGGACUGCAUUUCAUACUGGAAAUCUAGAGUGCGGGAGAGGAGAAUGGAAUUCCUAGUGUAGCGGUGAAAUGCGUAGAGAUUAGGAAGAACACCAGUGGCGAAGGCGAUUCUCUGGACCGUAACUGACGCUGAGGCAUGAAAGCGUGGGUAGCAAACAGGAUUAGAUACCCUGGUAGUCCACGCCGUAAACGAUGAGUACUAGGUGUAGGAGGUAUCGACCCCUUCUGUGCCGCAGUUAACACAAUAAGUACUCCGCCUGGGAAGUACGAUCGCAAGAUUAAAACUCAAAUGAAUUGACGGGGUCAUAGCUGUUUCCU
rnacentral:rRNA from 1 species